rnacentral:rRNA from 1 species
UUCGGGAAACCGGAGCUAAUGCCGGAUAACAUUUGGAACCGCAUGGUUCUAAAGUAAAAGAUGGUUUUGCUAUCACUUAUAGAUGGACCCGCGCCGUAUUAGCUAGUUGGUAAGGUAACGGCUUACCAAGGCAACGAUACGUAGCCGACCUGAGAGGGUGAUCGGCCACACUGGAACUGAGACACGGUCCAGACUCCUACGGGAGGCAGCAGUAGGGAAUCUUCCGCAAUGGACGAAAGUCUGACGGAGCAACGCCGCGUGAGUGAUGAAGGUUUUCGGAUCGUAAAACUCUGUUAUUAGGGAAGAACAAAUGUGUAAGUAACUGUGCACAUCUUGACGGUACCUAAUCAGAAAGCCACGGCUAACUACGUGCCAGCAGCCGCGGUAAUACGUAGGUGGCAAGCGUUAUCCGGAAUUAUUGGGCGUAAAGCGCGCGUAGGCGGUUUCUUAAGUCUGAUGUGAAAGCCCACGGCUCAACCGUGGAGGGUCAUUGGAAACUGGGAAACUUGAGUACAGAAGAGGAAAGUGGAAUUCCAUGUGUAGCGGUGAAAUGCGCAGAGAUAUGGAGGAACACCAGUGGCGAAGGCGACUUUCUGGUCUGUAACUGACGCUGAUGUGCGAAAGCGUGGGGAUCAAACAGGAUUAGAUACCCUGGUAGUCCACGCCGUAAACGAUGAGUGCUAAGUGUUAGGGGGUUUCCGCCCCUUAGUGCUGCAGCUAACGCAUUAAGCCACUCCG